rnacentral:rRNA from 1 species
AGGCUGCAACUCGCCUGCACGAAGUUGGAAUUGCUAGUAAUCGUGGAUCAGCGUGCCACGGUGAAUACGUUCCCGGGCCUUGUACACACCGCCCGUCACACCAUGAGAGUUGGAAAUACCCGAAGCCUGUGAGCUAACAGUAAUGAGGCAGCAGUCGAAGGUAGAGCCAAUGAUUGGGGUGAAGUCGUAACAAGGUAAC